GACGAACCGUGCGAACGUUGUUCGGAAUCACUGGGCUUAAAGGGCGCGUAGGCGGGCUGCCGCGUCCGGGGUGAAAUCCCACGGCUCAACCGUGGAACGGCCUCGGAUACGGGCGGCCUCGAGGGGGGUAGGGGCAUCUGGAACUGUGAGUGGAGCGGUGAAAUGCGUUGAUAUUCACAGGAACUCCGGUGGCGAAGGCGAGGUGCUGGACCCCUUCUGACGCUGAGGCGCGAAAGCCAGGGGAGCAAACGGG
rnacentral:rRNA from 1 species